rnacentral:tRNA from 1 species
GCGCCCGUAGCUCAAUUGGAUAGAGCGUCCGGCUUCGGACCGGGAGGUUGUGGGUUCAAGUCCUACCGGGCGUG